CCACCGCGGUUAAACGAGAGGCCCUAGUUGAUAAUACCACGGCGUAAAGGGUGGUUAAGGAAAGCAAAAUAAUAGAGCCAAAUGGCCCUUUGGCCGUCAUACGCUUCUAGGUGUCCGAAGCCCAAUUAUACGAAAGUAGCUUUAAUAAAACCCAUCUGACUCCACGAAAGCUGAGAAACAAACUGGGAUUAGAUACCCCACUAUGCUCAGCCAUAAACCUAGAUAUUCAACUACAAUUAAAUAUCCGCCCGGGUACUACGAGCAUUAGCUUGAAACCCAAAGGACCUGACGGUGCCUUAGACCCCCCUAGAGGAGCCUGUUCUAGAACCGAUAACCCCCGUUAAACCUCACCACUUCUAGCCAUCCCAGCCUAUAUACCGCCGUCGUCAGCUUACCCUGUGAAGGCAAUAAAAGUAAGCAAAAUGGGCACAACCCAGAACGUCAGGUCGAGGUGUAGCGCACGAAAUGGGAAGAAAUGGGCUACAUUUUCUAUUAACAGAAUAUUACGAACAUGCAACAUGAAAUAGUGCUUGAAGGAGGAUUUAGUAGUAAAAAGGAAGCAGAGUGUCCUUUUGAACCCGGCUCUGAGGCGCGUACACACCGCCCGUCACUCUCCCCUGUCUACACGCAAUAAAAGUUUAUAACACAAAAGCACUGACAAGGGGAGGCAAGUCGUAACAUG
rnacentral:rRNA from 1 species